UUUUGAGAGGACUUGUUGACGG
rnacentral:siRNA from 1 species